UAGGGAAUCUUCGGCAAUGGACGGAAGUCUGACCGAGCAACGCCGCGUGAGUGAAGAAGGUUUUCGGAUCGUAAAGCUCUGUUGUAAGAGAAGAACGAGUGUGAGAGUGGAAAGUUCACACUGUGACGGUAUCUUACCAGAAAGGGACGGCUAACUACGUGCCAGCAGCCGCGGUAAUACGUAGGUCCCGAGCGUUGUCCGGAUUUAUUGGGCGUAAAGCGAGCGCAGGCGGUUAGAUAAGUCUGAAGUUAAAGGCUGUGGCUUAACCAUAGUACGCUUUGGAAACUGUUUAACUUGAGUGCAAGAGGGGAGGGUGGAAUUCCAUGUGUAGCGGUGAAAUGCGUAGAUAUAUGGAGGAACACCGGUGGCGAAAGCGGCUCUCUGGCUUGUAACUGACGCUGAGGCUCGAAAGCGUGGGGAGCAAACAGGAUUAGAUACCCUGGUAGUCCACGCCGUAAACGAUGAGUGCUAGGUGUUAGACCCUUUCCGGGGUUUAGUGNCGUAGCUAACGCAUUAANCACUCCGCCUGGGGAGUACGACCGCAAGGUUG
rnacentral:rRNA from 1 species